CGCCCAUGAACACGUGUGUUAUACGUGGGUCAAUAUUCAUAUUAAUCUAUCUGGAGUUUAUACGAUAAAGGAUGAUGAAGAUGAGGAAGAUGAUGGCUGCAGUGUGUUUGUGUGUGACACUUUGUGUCUUCGCGCCUGCUUUGGGAGGUGAACACUCACUGUUUUACACCUACACGGCUCUGUCUAAACCUCUCAAUCUGACUGGAAUCUAUGAGUUCACCGCACUGGGCAUGCUCGAUGACCGAGAACUCGACUACUACAGCAGUGAGACUCAGGUUAAGGUUCCUAAACAGGACUGGAUGAAGGAGAAGAUGGAAAAGGAUUACUGGGAUAAAGGAACUCAGUCCCGUAAGAGCAAAGAGCAGUGGUUUAAGGUCAACGUGGACAUCCUGAUGGAGCGAAUGAGACACAAUAAGUCUGACCUUCAUGUUCUUCAGUGGAGACAUGGCUGUGUGGUUGAAGGUGAAAACGGAAAUAGUAAAUAUGUGAGAGGAAUUGAUGAGUACAGCUACGACGGCACUGAGUUCCUCUCCUUUGAUGAUAAAAACUCGAGGUGGAUCGCUCCAGUUCAGGCUGCUGAGCCGACCAAAAGGAAAUGGGAUGAAGUCUCCAUCCUUAACACAUACACCAAGAGCUACCUGGAGAAAGAGUGUGUGGAAUGGCUCACCAAGUUCAUGGACUAUGGACAACAAGAACUGAGAAAAUUUUCUCCCCCAGAGGUGCAUCUACUUACAAAGAGAUCAGUGACUAACAGCAAAAAGCUGACCUUGACCUGCCUGGCCACGGGAUUCUACCCUCCAGAUGUGGAGAUGCGGGUGAGAAAGUCCACAACUUCCCUGCCUGAACAUCUGGUAGUAUCUUCAGGAGUCAGACCCAAUGGUGAUGGCACAUACCAGCUGAGGAAGAGUGUGGAGAUCCUGGAGGAUGAAAAACCACUGUACACUUGUUAUGUGACCCACAUCACUCUGAAGAAUCCUAUAAUUGUAGGUGAAGGACAAGAUUGCUUUGACUGCUCCGUAGCUUCGAGUGUUAGCAUUGGAGCAGUGAUUGGAGUUCUGUUGGUGCUGGUUGGGGUUGCUUGUGUCAUCUAUAUUCUUUAUUCCAAGAAAUAUAUUGUCUGUCCAGCUUUCUUGAACAUAACAACAAAUGAACAACAAGCUGUGGAUGGAAAUGUGGCAUAUAUUCCAGCUCCUGCAGCUGAUCUGGAAGCGAGUGGACAUGCGAAUGGACAUGAGAAAGAAUGUGCGAAUGGACAUGAGAAAGAAUGUGCGAAUGGACAUGAGAAAGAAUGUGCGAAUGGACACAAGAAUGGCAUCAACUAAGCAGCAUGAAGACAAGGAUCUCAGACCAAAUGACCACGAAAAAGUUUUAACCCUCAUGUUGUCUUUUACAUUUUAAAUUCAAUGUGAUAACAGAAUUGGGUACGAAUUUCAAAUUUCAUGCAAAAACAUUUGACAAAACCUGCAUGUUUAGUAGGAAGACAUCUAACUACAGAUGAUCAGCAGCUAAAGCAUUCUGCACACACGAGUCUGGAGGUGUGAGCAAACGUGCUAACCACCAAGCCCAUAAGAACCAGCUGAUCAUUAUUUGGAGUUAAUCAGAAUAACUUCAGUAAUGGAAGACAUAUUAUAAUGACAUUUGUCCAUUAGUUUGUGUGAUUGGUUCAUUUAGAGCACUCACAAGACUCAUUAUAAAAGAUUUUGCAUAUUUAUUUCCCUAAAAUGUUUCUAUUUGUUUUUCACUAUAUCACAUUCAUUGGAGAAUGAAUGCACAUGCGCAGUUCACAGCUUGUAUAGUGGACGCUCAUACUGUAGCUCCUGUGCGUGAAGAUCAGGCCACAACACGCGUGUUAUACGUGGGUUAAUAUUCAUAUUAAUCUAUCUGACGUUUAUAUGAUAAAGGAUGAGGAAGAUGAUGGCUGCAGUGUGUGUGUGUGUGACAUUUUGUGUCCUCGCGCCUGCUUUGGGAGGUGAGUUUCCGGGAACUGAACGACGGUUAUGUUUUCCGUUAUGUUUGUUUACUGAAAAUAACCUUCUGCUUUUAGACUUUAUUUUAUAUUAUAUUGUGUCUGGGGUCUGUAGAAUUUGGUCAAUAAUUGUUAUAUGUUAGAGUUUUACAGUAUUUGGAGUAGGGGCGAUUUUAGCCCUUUUUUAUGGCGUCUCCAGCCUCCUGUGUGUGAUCUCAGCCAUUAUAAGCACCUGUUUACCAACCGGAGGGAAAGGAGUUUAAAAGCAGAGCAGAAGGCUCAGACGGCGAGACCUUUUUCUCCAAGAGCAUGAUCCGUGUCCUGCCCGGCGUGCUGUAUUGAAUUCCAUGUUGUGCUUGCUAUCCAAUGUUAUAGUGAUCAGUGACUUUGGUGCUGAUUGUUCAUUUUGUUAUCUCGUGUAAUUUCGGGAACGGUAGGGAGGUGGGUGCCCAUUUUAUUUUGUGAAUCCUUGUUUUCUCCUGUUUUGUGUUAGUUAGGGAGUGAGUUCAGGUAUCUGUUAUUUAUUUUACUUUUGUGUUCUAGAUUAUCAAGAUUUUCACUCCCCUGGCAGUGAACAUUUGUUUGUUAUUUUGGUUUUGCCCCCUUCUGAGAUUUUGUUCCCUGUUAUAUCCAGAUGCUUAAAUAAACCUUUAAAUUUGA